UACAUGGGGUGCAAACGUUGCUCGGAAUUAUUGGGCGUAAAGCGCACGUAGGCGGUCAUUUAAGUCGGAUGUGAAAGCCCUCGGCUUAACCGAGGAAGUGCAUCCGAAACUGAAUGGCUUGAGUACUGAAGAGGGUCGCGGAAUUCCCGGUGUAGAGGUGAAAUUCGUAGAUAUCGGGAGGAACACCGGUGGCGAAGGCGGCGACCUGGGCAGAUACUGACGCUGAGGUGCGAAAGCGUGGGGAGCAAACAGG
rnacentral:rRNA from 1 species